rnacentral:misc_RNA from 1 species
CUGUUCGGGGCGUGAGCCCCUGAGGCCCUCGGGCCAACACACCCUUUGCUUUGGAGCACCUGUGUUUCCUCGGCGUGUUCGCUCGCCGCAGGACCUCUACAAAACCUUUGCAGUGCCCGUCUCUGUCAUAAUGUAAUAAAAUGUCA